AUUCCGUGUGUGGCUGCUUGGGCAGCUGCUCCAUGCCAGGCUUGGAGGACCAGGAGAAGGGGUAGUCACUUGCCACAGCUGGAGGCUGGAGCGUGUGGCAUCAUGGCUCGCCUCGCUGUGGUGGGUGCUGGCGACAGAGACGGCAGCUCGGCUGGACUGUUAAACAUUAUGUAAACUAAAGUACAGAACCCUGGCAAAAUUGAAAGGCCCCAGUAUUAUUGGAACUCUUUUAUGAUUCAGCUUUUCAUGGAGUUCUACUUUAUCAUGAAAUCUAGCACACUGGUUCCUUUCAAUUAAUCCCUGAAGGUUAAUAUUUUUGGACCACAGUUGACCUGAGGUAACUGAAACUGCUGAAAACAAAACCAUGGAUAAGGGAGGACUCUUGUAUUAUCACAGAUUAUCACAUAUCAAAACUAUGGCUCUAGGCUUUUUAGAAGAGUUUAACAAGUGGAGCUUGAAGCUCUGUUUUUACCCUUUCUCCGGGCUGUUAUUGUCAUACAAAUUACAUCUUUAUACAUGUUGUGCUGAACAACAAGUGGAUUUGUAGGUGUUUCUUUGUGAAGUUAUCUUCUAAAUCAGAAUUAGGGAAGAAAUUAUUCAAGAUAGACUCCUAGAAAUACAAUUAUCAGCUCAUGAAUAUGGACAUAAUUUGAUAAAUACAGCAAAUUGCUUUCUAAAAGUUGUUCAGUAAUUUUUGACCAAAUAGAGCUUCCAUGUUUUCAAA